UACGUAGGGGGCGAGCGUUGUCCGGAAUUAUUGGGCGUAAAGAGCUCGUAGGCGGUUUGUCGCGUCGGCUGUGAAAACUCGGGGCUCAACCCCGAGCCUGCAGUCGAUACGGGCAGACUAGAGUGCUGUAGGGGAGACUGGAAUUCCUGGUGUAGCGGUGAAAUGCGCAGAUAUCAGGAGGAACACCGGUGGCGAAGGCGGGUCUCUGGGCAGUAACUGACGCUGAGGAGCGAAAGCGUGGGGAGCGAACAGG
rnacentral:rRNA from 1 species